CUCCCCUUUUGGAGUUUAUCGAGGCACUGUCUCUUCCUCCCCCCACCCUCGCCCCCAAAUUAAGAUUUCCCGUUUUACGCCGCAAUGAUAAAUAUAAUUAUAAGCCUCUUUGGACACUGUCCUUUACCCCACCCCCCCUCGCCACUUUGACAAUAUUUACUUAAGUAUUUCCCCCCACCUCACUCACACACAUGCUCCCCCACACUGGUUCCCUUAAAUAGUUCCAGUAGAAUUUUUUUUUUCCCUUAAGAAAGGAAAGAGAAAGUCCAACCACUACGGCAAUACUUUUAAGCUCUACUAAAUGAUCGUAUCCUUUCUGGCUUCGAAACUUUUGUACCUAAAAAUCGAGAGAGGCGCUGCAUUUUUUCAGUUGAAACUGUCAAAACUUGGAGAAGGGGGACCUCGGAGGCAGGCAGGAGAGGAGGAGAAUCCUGAAAACUCGGUGGAGGUUGGGAAGAUGCUGUGCCUCGAGGAUUAGUUUAAACAGGGGGCUAUAAAAGAUGUAACAGAUGCAAACUGUAACACAAGGGCCAUUAACCCUUUCUCUGCCGGGCACACUCAGUCCCCACGCCCCACACCUAUUGUCUCCUGUGCUAGAAGCUUUGCAGAAAACCUGGAAAGUGAGUAUCAGUUUCCACACAUUUGCUGAGAGGGGUGAAGGGAGGGGGGCAGAGAGAAGGGGAAGUGGAUAUUUUAGAAAGCACCUUAAAUUUACCUAGGCAUACAUAGUAGGAGACUUUUAAGUUUGACAUAUUUUAUCAUUUCUUUCCUUGUCCUAUUGAUUUGAAAUUGUUAGGGGAAAUCCUGAAAUAAAGAAAUGGUCACACAAGUGUCUGGGAUGAAACAGCUGGCCUGUCUAUAUUCAUCCUGAGACACACGACUGCAUAUAAAUACAUGUUUAAUAAAGUAAGUUGCUAGUUUUAUGGGCAUGUGUGUGUGUGAGAGAGAGAGACAGGGCAUUUGUGCUGUAAACUUUAUCUUUGCCUGUUACUCCUAAGUCUGGAGUUAGUAAUCUUGCCUUCAUCAUUACAGGGGGAGCAUGUAAAAUAUAUCAGUAGGUGGGAGAUAAACACAUUCAUGUUAGCCGGGCUCAUCACUGUUCCUGGGAACUCCUGCUAUCUCUCUCUCGACUUUUCAGUGCCAAAGUAUGGAAUGGGAUAUAUGUGUGUAUGUGUCUUCUAUUAAAUCCAUGUCUAUAUUACUUUGCCACUAAAAAUACAAUUUUAAAAGUUAUCCUAAUUUAAAACCCUGAUAUCCUGACAGCAGUUUUCUUCCCAGCUGUAGUGCCCCCCCCUCCACUUUGGUAAACGACUCAAGUUCCAUGAGGACUUUCACUUCUUUAUUUAUAAUCACAGAAGUGAGGUGUUACUUCACACACAUACACACACAAAGAAUGAAAUAAAGAAAUGAAACUCGCUAAGCAGACAAAAACAGACAACUUUCUGCUUAGAAAACAGCCUUCUCGGUGGGAGAGGAUGAACUGCCAUGUCUAAGAGAAAGACUUGCCCCCGAAUUUGUAGGUCUGUAACUGACCAAGUUUUGUAAUUAUUAACAGGUAUUUGCCAAGUCCUAAUUGCUGAAUAUAAUGAAUUGGAACUAGAUGCGAAAAUAGAGCAGGACCUCUCCCCUUGAUGAGUUUUUAUUCCAGCCAUAUAAUUCUCAAUAAAACUUUUCCUGGGCUGGAUAGCAAAGGACACCUUUGGUUACCUGAAUGAACAGGUACAGGGGAAAUUAUUUGGGGGAGGGAAAAAGGAGAGAAAAGCAAGGAGAGAGAGUGUGAGUGUAAGAGAAAGCGAAGAAGCCACUCUUGAGAAAAGCUUGCCAUAAAGGAGCUAAACCCACCUGAAAUUCCUACCCACGGACACCCCUUCUCACUUCAGACUCACAUCCCCACUCAAAAUGAGAAAAUUAGAAAAGGAGGAUGGAGGACGAGCACACCAAAAAGGGAUAAAAAGAGAGAAAAGGGGAGGAAAAAAAACCUACCUGCGAAGUCUUGUUUGUAGUUUUGGCCAGAAAUGGUGAGAAGAAAAAGCAUGAAGAAGCCGCGAAGUGUGGGGGAGAAAAAGGUGGAAGCGAAGAAACAGCUCCCGGAGCAAACUGUACAAAAACCUCGCCAAGAGUGUCGGGAGGCAGGACCGUUAUUCCUGCAGAGCAGGAGAGAGACGAGAGACCCUGAAACACGCGCCACCUAUCUUUGUGGGGAGGGAUAAUUGAAGCGCCCUGAGCGUGAGCAUCAUGUGAAAACGUGAUCGCCAAGUUUCUCUCUGGGAAAGGAUCUGGGAUAGAUUAUACCUUGAAGUCUCCGCAAACGCUUUAGUGGAAGAAAUGAAAUUCCACCUCCCUCCCUUCCUCCUCUCCCUCCCUUUCGCCUUCGCCUCCCUCCCCCCUCCCUCCCUUCUCCCCCCCUCCACCCCCCCCUCCCCGCCCGUCAAGCCUUUGGCAUCAUUAUCCUCAUCACUAAAUCCUACAGAGUACAGGGCGGAAAACGGUGCACACCAUUCACAGAACUGGAGAACUCCAAGGGGCGAAAGUUAAAGGGAAAGAUCCCGGGUCCUCAAUCCAGAUAGUCUCUUCUUAUACAGAUAUCUCUAAUGACCAGAUUUGAGAUGCACAUCAAAUUGUGUAGGUAUCUCAGUACAGCUUCUGGAACAAAGUUCUCUGCCCUUUCUCUUAUUGUUAUUUUUUUCUUUUUAGGUACCAGAGCCAGAAAAAAAAAUGCUGCAUGGGAGCUGCAUCUUAGGGCAUGUGUAUUAGGGUGUGUGCAUGAUGAAUUUCUGGACUGGAUCCCAAUAUUAAAAAGUAGUUUGGCAUUUUAAUAAAGGGUCUCUAAGUAAAUUAAAAUAGAACACUCGGUUGGCCGAUCUCUGAAUCUCUCUACACCUCGGGGAGACCUCACUACAAAGUAAGGGAGAGUGUGUAGGGAGGCAGGAGGAGAAACGAGAAAGGCCAUAGAGAAACUUAGCAGGGAAGGGAGAGCAUGAUAUUAAACGGCAUGGGGUCUAAGUUUUGGAGUAUAUAUUUUUUGAUAUUACAAUUAAAGUAAGAUUAAAAAGAAAAGACUCCACCUUUGCUCUGAAGGGAUUGGUUAUGCAAAUAUGGAAGGGAUUUCCUGGAGAAUACAGCUUUCUACUGUAUGGUUAAUUAAAUAAUCACUCAAAAGCUUCCAACGUGACGCUUCUGUCGUAAUCCAAUCAGGUUACAUAGGUCCUAAACAAGAAAGAUAUUUUCCACAUCUGGAAGUCAGCAAUUUAGCAAGUACUGCACAUUAUUAACCAAUUCAGAGCCCACUUCCCAGGGGAAUUUUUUUGAAGUUUAAGUGUUCUUAACCAAUGCUCUGCUGUUUUGUUAAUCAAAAAGCUGGUUUACACUGCACAUAAUUGGAACUAAUAUAGAAGUAAAUAAAGACAGCCAAAUUUGAGGAUGCUGAGCACAGGCAUUUAUCGGAAAAGGAAGAAAUCUCCUAUCCUCGGAUGGUUCAGGCUCAAUUUCUUAAAUAACUGUGAGACUUUUUUUUUUUUCCUAAAGAGUGAAAGUGCUUGAGAACCUCAGAGCACAAAUAAACUUCUAGCCUCACAGCAUUUAGGAUUCUUCGGAAAGGUAAAGGUGGAGGUGUUAAGAGGACCAGAGAGCUGCCUCACACCAAUUUUUAAGCUUUAAUAUUGUUAAAUAUGUUACACCCUCCUGUUUCCAGUCUGAUGAAAUCUGAAACAAAUAAUACCCUGAUCCAACACUAUAUUAAGAUAAACUGCUUUGAACUGUGCUUUGAAUGUGUGCCUAAAGCAAGACUUUGAAUGCAAGAGUCACUGGCAAUUGCACUCAAAGGAGGGACAAGCCACCACAUGGGUUGCCACAUCCACACUCCCAGAGAUAAAGUGUCUAUAGAAGAAAGGCAUUCAGGAUCUUCAGCUUAAAAAUUAUUAAUAAAUAAAAUCAAAGAUUUUCAACAUGGGUCAGGCACAUUCUUAAUUUUAUAUUUUACAUUUCUUUCAUUAUUAUAUAUCUAUACUAAAUAUAUGUGUGACUUAUCAAGUUCCUCUUCUGAGAUUUAGCACCACUGUUCAUGUCCAUUUUUCUUCCUCUUCCUUUUUUUCCUCUUUUUUAAUUUAAAAGAUUGGAAUCCAGCUUUCUCUAGACGUUUGCUUUACAGCCACCCUUCCACCACUCCUAAGGAAGAAGGAGCCCUUUGCAUAGAGUUAUUACAGGCAAGACUCCUCUUCAGGCACCCAGGUAGCCAUUGGAGGCUUACAGACCAGACACACACACAAGCAUAACCUCAGGUCAAAGGAUCCAAUCGAAUAGCUAACAAAACACUUGUCUUUAUUAUGUAUAUUAAAUGUCAGGUUACUUAGGAUCUGACUUAAAAAAAAAAAAAAAAACCCUAAGUAUUUCCAUUAAAAACACCUAAUCAUCUGAUUACCCUGGACUCAGGAAUUGCUCAAGUGGCAGGAGGCAGUCCCCAACAUUUAUCACUGGGAGUUCCGACUAGCCAGUAUUUGAUUUGGGGUGAAAAAGCAGUCUUCCAGGUUCCCAUGAAGGUAGAUAUUUGGAUGGUGGCACGGGAAGGGUCUCCGCGAGGGGUGAGCGCUGCGGCUAGGUUGCCUUGCCCCUGGUUCCUGACUGGCACGCCCCUCCCCAGGCAUUUGGCCGAGAGAGUUCCCAACGUGGCAGAGGUGAUGGGGUCGGGAGGAAGCCGGAAUAUAAAUUUGUUCCGAACACUCCCUCAGUCCGAGGGCCAGUUCGGGGACAAUGGGGAUCGUGGGAUCAGGAGGAUGCAGGAGCACAGGACGCAGAGAAAAGUCGAGAGAGGACUGGGGGCUGCUGGCUUUCGGCUCCUCACACAGCAAAAUAAGUCCUGCAAAUGAAUCUCUCCUUCUCUGUCUUCCCCAUUAAUAAUCCACUUCGAGAUUAGCGCAGACGAAAGAGAUUAAAACAACAGAUACACGGAAAUGUGAAAUAAUAUUGCAAUCAACAUUGAAGGGGGAAAAAUAAUUCUUUGGGGUUUCCAUGGGCAAAACAAACUACCUCCCUCAGGAUUCCCUCCACCCAGGCAGGGUGAGAAGGAUGCACUUUUGUUUUCCAAUUCCCUCCAGCCAGGACCUGGUGCCUGUCCCCCCAUUCACCUCUCAGUCUGUCAAUUUCCUCAACUUUCACAGCCGCUCCCCCCUCCCCCCGCUCAGCUUGGCGGCCCAGAUGCCCGAAGAGAUACAAUGUUUCUGCCCUUGAACACACAGGCUGUAGAAGGAAUUCGAAUUUGGCCACAGCUAAUGAUUUUUUUUAAAGCAAAUUCUGUUUAUUUUGUACCAUGUGGAGAAAAUAAAAAAAGGAACCUAUUCUCGUUUUGAAAUGAAACUGAUCUUUCAUCUAGAGGAAUUAUUCGACCUUGUGUUGUGACUCAGGAGGUGGGCAACUUCUUUUGGAGUUGCAAGCAAAGGGUGAUAAAGGGGACCCCUGGACUGGGUGUGUGUGGAGGAGGUGGGGGGCGGCAGGGGUCCAAGCCAAGCCAAACGGUUUUCUCACGUGCAGACUCGCAAUCCAAUCCAUUCGGA
rnacentral:lncRNA from 10 species